AGGACGAACGCUGGCGGCGUGCUUAACACAUGACAAGUCGAGCGAACCUUCGGGUUAGCGGCGAACGGGUGAGUAACACGUGGGCAACCUGCCCCAAGCUCUGGGAUAACCUCCGGAAACGGGGACUAAUACCGGAUAUGACUCUGGAAGACAUCUUCUUGAGUGGAAAGUUUUUCGGCUUGGGAUGGGCCCGCGGCCUAUCAGCUUGUUGGUGGGGUAACGGCCUACCAAGGCGACGACGGGUAG
rnacentral:rRNA from 1 species